rnacentral:tRNA from 1 species
GCCUGGGUGGCUCAGUCGGUUGAGCGUUGGACUUUGACUCAGGUCACAUUCUCGUGGCUCAUGGGUUCGAGCCCCGUGUCAGGCU